GACGAACGCUGGCGGCGUGCUUAACACAUGCAAGUCGAACGGAAAGGCCCUGCUUUUGUGGGGUGCUCGAGUGGCGAACGGGUGAGUAACACGUGAGUAACCUGCCCUUGACUUUGGGAUAACUUCAGGAAACUGGGGCUAAUACCGGAUAGGAGCUCCUGCUGCAUGGUGGGGGUUGGAAAGUUUCGGCGGUUGGGGAUGGACUCGCGGCUUAUCAGCUUGUUGGUGGGGUAGUGGCUUACCAAGGCUUUGACGGGUAGCCGGCCUGAGAGGGUGACCGGCCACAUUGGGGCUGGGGUACGGCCCAGACACCUUCGGGAAGCAAGAGGUGGGAAGUAUGCACAAUUGGUGGAAUGCCUGAGGAAGAACACCGCGGGCGGGAAGGCUGCCUGCGGGGUGGAAACCGCUUUCGCCUUUUACGAAACGUGGUGUACGGUAAUUGGGUAAGAAGCAACGGCUAACUACCGG
rnacentral:rRNA from 1 species